GAUACAUUGGGCUUGGACUUAGUGCCGUUAUGAAGAUUAAAAACUUUGAUGUCACUAUGGUGUAUCCUGAACCCUGGUACAUGCCGAGGCUAUUUACUCCAGAUAUCGCUGCUUUCUAUAAAGCUUAUUAUGCAAACAAGGGAGUCAAAAUAGACAAGGGCACACUAGUCAUCGGAUUUAAUUCUGACACCAAUGGGGAUGUAACAUCAGUCAAGUUGAAGGAUGGAAGAGUGCUC